rnacentral:rRNA from 1 species
GGGGGGAGCAAGCGUUGUUCGGAUUUACUGGGCGUAAAGGGCGCGUAGGCGGCGCAACAAGUCACUUGUGAAAUCUCCGGGCUUAACUCGGAACGGUCAAGUGAUACUAUUGUGCUAGAGUGCGGAAGGGGCAACUGGAAUUCUCGGUGUAGCGGUGAAAUGCGUAGAUAUCGAGAGGAACACCUGCGGCGAAGGCGGGUUGCUGGGCCGACACUGACGCUGAUGCGCGAAAGCCAGGGGAGCGAACGGGAUUAGAUACCCCGGUAGUCCUGGCCUUAAACGAUGGAUGCUUGGUGUCUGGGGUUAUAAAGUCCCCGGGUGCCGUCGCUAACGCUUUUAGCAUCCCGCCUGGGGAGUACGGUCGCAAGACUG